rnacentral:rRNA from 1 species
AUUGAACGCUGGCGGCAGGCCUAACACAUGCAAGUCGAGCGGAUGAAGGGUGCUUGCUCCUGGAUUCAGCGUCGGACGGGUGUGUAAUGCCUAUGAAUCUGCCUGUUUUUUGUGUAUUACGUCCUGAAACGGGCGCUUUUACCCCAUACGUCCUGUUGUUGCAUUUUGGUGUUCUUCGGACCUCUCGCUUUCUUAUGUGCCUAGGUCGGAUUUGCUAGUUGGUGGGGUAAAGGCCUACCAAGGCGACGAUCCGUAACUGGUCUGAGAGGAUGAUCAGUCAGAGUGGAACGGAGACACGGUCCAGACUCCUACGGGAGGCAGCAGUGGGGAAUAUUGGAGAAUGGGCGAAAGCGUGAUCCAGCCAUGCCGCGUGUGAGAAGAAGGUCUUCGGAUUGUAAAGCACUUUAAGUUGGGAGGAAGGGCAGUAAGUUAAGACCUUGCUGUAUUGACGUUACCAACAGAAUAAGCACCGGCUAACUUCGUG